GCCUUUGGUUGNCCGAGUUGUAAUUUAGAGAAGUGUUACCCGCGCUGGACCGUGUACAAGUCUCCUGGAAAGGAGCAUCAUAGAGGGUGAUAAUCCCGUCUUUGACACGGACUCCCAGGGCUUUGUGGUACGCUCUCAAAGAGUCGAGUUGUUUGGGAAUGCAGCUCAAAAUGGGUGGUAAAUUCCAUCUAAAGCUAAAUAUUGGCGAGAGACCGAUAGCGAACAAGUACCGUGAGGGAAAGAUGAAAAGAACUUUGGAAAGAGAGUUAAACAGUACGUGAAAUUGCUGAAAGGGAAACGCUUGAAGUCAGUCGCGUUGGCUGGAAAUCAACCUUGCUCUUGCUUGGUGUAUUUUCUAGUCGACGGGUCAACAUCAGUUUUGACCGCUGGAUAAAGUGUAAGGGAAUGUGGCUCUUUCGGGAGUGUUAUAGCCCUUGCUCGUAUACAGCGGUUGGGACUGAGGAACUCAGCACGCCGCAAGGCAGGGCUUCGGCCACUUUCGUGCUUAGGAUGUUGGCAUAAUGGCUUUAAGCGAC
rnacentral:rRNA from 1 species